rnacentral:tRNA from 1 species
AGGAAUUUAGGUUAAUACAGACCAAGAGCCUUCAAAGCUCUAAGCAAACGAGUAUACGUUUAAUUCCUG